rnacentral:tRNA from 1 species
GGGCACUUGGCGCAGUUGGUUAGCGCGUCGCGCUUACAUCGCGAAGGUCGGGGGUUCGAAUCCCUCAGUGCCCACCA